AAAAUCGGCUGUAGAGGUAUGCAAUUUCUUUCUUCGUCAUCAUCAUUUUUCUUUACUUAAUGAAACCAUAAACUCUACAUUCCCUUUUCCUUGAACACUCAUUUGGUUGAAGUGGGUAAUAAAAUCUUGCAAUAUUAUUGUUGGGCAUUUGGAGAAGAAGGUAGUGUUUUAAUUUUCAAUUUUUGGGUUAGUUUCUUUGUCCAUUUUUUGAAUAAUUUCUUCAUGUUGUUGUAUAUAUGUUUAUGAUUUUUAUUUGUGAAUAAUGAUUUUGAAUUAAUUUUAUUAUUAGAUUAGAGUUUUGAUAUGGGUUACUUUCAAACUCUUUUCUCAUUACUCAUCAUCUGUACCAGUUAGAGUAAAAUGUAAGUCUGCAAAUGCAUGUUUGGCUAUUCUUUUUAUUGGUCUAUUAUAAAACAUACAUUUAAUUUUCGUUUGUACAUAACGACUGACAUGUCGUUUUCUACAAUCCGUAACGACUUACAUAUCGUUAUCAGUACUGUACAAUGUUUGAAAUUUGAUGAAAUUUUUAUAUUGAAUUACAGUUAUGGACACCGCGAAUAUGAUAUGGAUGUCAGUUUAUUUUUUAGUUGAAUAUGAGUAGUCGACUGAACGUGUUUAAAAUGAAAAUAUGCAGGGAAUGGCAAAGAAAAAACAACUCCUACUCUUGUUGCGAAAACUAUUUUUUUAUGUAGAAUUAUAUGAUAACGUCAAAGAGGUGUUGAACAUCAAUUCACAACUUUUUCGAAAUUUAAUUGGAAAAAUCGAAUGAUUAAAGAAUCUAUUCACAACUUCAAAUGGUUAUGAGUACAGUCAUAAGAUAUUAGUGGACUGCAUGUUUUUAUUCCCAAAUAAGAUAGAAUAAACCAAUACCUUGAAAUAGAAACUAGUACUUUGGCUUUGUUGGAGCAUACUCUUUUAUUAUUUCAUUUAUAUUUAUUAUGGAUAAUUGAUUCGAAAUUAUUUCCUGCAAAUUACAUAAUCAUCAUGUGUGUUAUCUUGCUCAUUUACUUGCUUUCAAUAUAAAGAUUCAGAAACUUGAAUGUUUACUUUGUGAUUUCAUACUGCAGCUCUCUUGAGGGACAUGCUUACUCAACUUUGCUCUAAGAGGAAUUGAACAUAGCAUGUCGAAUAUUGUGUCAGCCUUUCCCAUCCCCAACCCAAAGAAAAAUGGGAAACGUCGUUUUUUUUUUUCCUUUUUCUUUAAGUGCUACUGGUGGAUGACUUUUUUACAUAGAAACAAUUGGUCUAGCAUUUUAAGCAAUUUGUUCCUUUAGUUUCAUCAAGAUGUAGAUCGAAAGUAUGUGUACAUAUGUGUGUACGAUAGAGACUAUAAUGUAAUGGCUGGCUUAUAUACUAGGCGAACUUCCUGAUU
rnacentral:lncRNA from 1 species